rnacentral:misc_RNA from 1 species
AGGUUUAGUUGAGUUGAGUUGUAUAUAAUUUAAGAUAUUGGGUGCAUUAAAGUAAAAAAAAUCAAAUUUCAAAGAAAAAUGUAAAAUAUAAAAAGUUUUAGUGAAUGGCUUUUGGCUUGUUUGUUAGUGCAGCCUUGUUUUGUGCAGAUUGAAUUUGCUAGUUUUUUUUUUUUUCCUGAAAUCAAUUAUUAAUAAAAAAUUUUUUCUUAUAAAAAAAAAGUCCUUGCAUGGCUGCUAGACAAUGGAUGUACUGGUAUAUAAUUGUAGACAUGAAUUAAAUGAGUGUGAAGUAACAUCAUUCUCAUAUGGAUAUAUAGGUCAAUUUCAUUUUUCUCACCAGCCACCAAAUAUAGCCCCAUGAAGCUUGCAAAAAUACUGCCUCAUCAUGACAUCAGUCCUCUAGGAUCGAUCGCCCUUUCACUAUCAAGUGUCAACUUACAUCUGCUUCGUCCAACGUGGAAAGUCUCUUUAUAUGCAUACUAGUGGAUGUGAAAGUCUCUUUUGAAUACUGGUAGUGGUCUAGGGGAAUAUAUGUGCACAAAGUGAUUUUUGUUCUUGCAAA